AUGAAAGGAAAAUCCUGCUGAGGCAAUCGUAUUUGUUUUGGUAGAUAUGCUCUUCAAGCACUUGAACCCGCUUGGAUCAUAGCGAGACAGACAGAAGCAGGACGAAGAGCAAUAACAUGAUAUGCACGUCGUGGUGGAAAAAUAUGGGUACGUAUAUUUCCCGAUAAACCGGUUACGCUAAGACCCACAGAAACACGUAUGGGCUCGGGAAAGGGGUCCGCCGAAUAUUUGGUAUCCAUUGUUAAACCUGGUCGUAUACUUUAUGAAGGGGGAGUAUCUGAAACUGUAGCUAGAGCAGCUAUCUCCAUAGCUACCAGUAAAAUGCCCAUACGAAGUCAAUUUAUUCGAUUAGAGAUAUAG
rnacentral:rRNA from 1 species